UAAUGCCUGCCCAGUGACACUGUUAAACGGCCGCGGUAUCCUAACCGUGCAAAGGUAGCGUAAUCACUUGUCCCUUAAAUAGAGACUAGAAUGAACGGCCAAACGAGGCUCUACCUGUCUCUUACAAAUAAUCAGUGAAAUUGAUCUUCCCGUGCAAAAGCAGGAAUGACACUAUAAGACGAGAAGACCCUGUGGAACUUCAAAUACAAAUCAACUAUUACCAACAUCCGCCUAAUUAGGCCUAUACCAAAACAUAGCACCUGAUUCUUAUUUUCGGUUGGGGCGACCCCGGAGUAUAAUAAAACCUCCGGAAAAGAACUUCUCUUUCAAACCUAGACUUACAAUCCAAAGUGCCUUCGGUAAAAUGAUCCAAUAUAUUUGAUCAACGAACCAAGCUACCCCAGGGAUAACAGCGCAAUCCCAUCCAAGAGUCCCUAUCGACGAUGGGGUUUACGACCUCGAUGUUGGAUCAGGACAUCCUGAUGGUGCAACCGCUAUCAAGGGUUCGUUUGUUCAACGAUUAACAGUCCU
rnacentral:rRNA from 1 species